AGCUUCCCUGAGUUACAAUAGUAAAAGCAACAUUCUCCUUGUAGUAACCCACAUUAUACCUAGAUUCACAUGCUCUACUAUUCAGCGUGCACAGCAGCAUGGUGUGCCACAGGGUGAGAUGGGAAUGUUGUUGACAGCCUAAAACUCAGAGGGAUUGGGAGGUGAAAAAUUACAGAAACAGUAACUAUUCACUUACUGACUCUCCGUUCCCAGGAGCAUCUCCACCUUCUCUCCUGCAUGGUUAGUGAGGACCAGUAGCCUGAAGAGGUGAAGACCCUGCAGAGACAGGAAGAAGCAUAUCUGGACAAGGCAUGCUGCCCAUCUGUCACAGUGCAGUUAAUGACUCAUGCUUCAACUUCAGAAUACCCAGACAUCUUCAGAGCUCUGAUGCGAGUUCAAGCAGUUGUCAUGUCUAUUGGUUUUGCUAUUUACUCGUAUCAAGGCAAUACUGGAAAUGUUUUUUUUUUCAAGUGGAAAAUAAUAGUGUGUUCCUAAUUUUUUAAGUUGUGAAAUACAGGUAAAAAAAAAACCCAAAAAAUCCCAAACAGUUACAAGAAUCUACAUCACUUAUUCAAAAAACAGCAAGUGAUCACAAGGAAAGACUGAUAACCCAAAAAAGCCUUUUUGCUUCCACUGAAGCAAAAUGUUUCCCAGCAUUGCCUUACAUGCAUUUGCAGGUUUACCAGCAUCUAUCAUAAACCCAGAACAGUGAUAAACUGAUUACCUCAUAAUUUCAUCUAAGCCUGAUAAACUUUUUCAGUUUUAUUGUCUUACAGUGGUACCACAAGAACAGAUAGAAAAAACACCUGCUUACAGAGGCAUCAAAAUAGUUCUCCCUCCUAGCCCGUCCUCUGCUGUGUUUAUCAAAUUUUGCAGAAAAUCAAGCAGAUCAAACUUUCAGAAGCAACUAUAUAUACUGCACUUUAAAGUAAAACAUUAUAUAGAUCUCAGUCUCGACUGAUGAAAAGCUGUGCUAGAGCCUCAGUUUGCUAUGGUUCAUUGAUAGAAUUUAAAUUGAAUAAAUACUUGAAGAUGAUUAAUAUUGCUGCCAGAGAUCCACACAACCACAAGCACUGAACUGACACAAAUCAAAUACCAAACACCUGGAACUUAAGCCAUCUGAAAUGCUGAUGGUGAUAUACUCCUUCUGACAGGUAUAACUGAAGCAUGUUCUUCCUUUAUGGUUGCUCAGAUACUGUAAGAAAAUGGAGAGAUGACUACUUAGCUGUUGGGAUACACGCUCCCCAUUUUGUGAGGUGUUGGGAAAAUACCUGCCAAUACCUUGAUAGUUAACAUAAUGGUCUUUGUAAUUCCUGUUUUUUAUCCUUCAGAAAAACUGCUAAAACACAACUGAGCAACAUUAUAACACUAUGCCUCAAAAUGUUAAGUUAUUGCUGAUCCCUGUAACUCAUACAGGGUGUGAUGGAUUUCUCUAUUCUUCAAGUGACAACAGGCUUACAGAUCAUACUGUAUUUGUGGAUUUUUGUGGAUUAAUAGGUCCUGCCAGUGCAUCUAGUGUGAGAGUUCUUAUUUCAGUUACAUGGGGUAUGCUUUUACUUUUGUUCUGUGAAUUAAAUACUUGAAAUGUGGGUUUUCUGCAGUACAGCUUUGUACAUUCUCAAAUGACAGAAAGAACAUGAUACUAAUAGAACUAAUUCUUGCAGCAAAUACUUUUUCUUUUGUCAAGAAGCAGAAGCUUCUUUGUAAAGCAAGCAGAAGCAAUGACAGAGAAGCUUAGUAAGGUUUAUCAUAUAGCAGCACUGAAAUCAUUGUAGUUCAGAAGAUAAUGAAUAUUUUUCUUCCCCAUUUAAUUUUCUCCAGGUCUCAAAAUGGGACCAACAAUUCCCCACAGUUCACCUGGAAUCAGAGCUCUUGUUCAGAUACAACUGACAAAGGCACAAACAUACCACAACUUCCAAAAGCACUGUUGCAAGAACUUCAAAUAGAUUUCAAACCUCUCCAUAUAGUUUUGAUUAAGCUCACUUUUGAUUAGACUGCUGCUUCCACAUUCCUUAGGGUAAAAAGGAAAUGAGAGAAGGAGCAAACUCUGCCAAAGCUCUGUAAGGAUGAAGCCAAGUUAAUUGUGCUUUUACACAUGAAUUCUUGGGUCCCAAGUAGAAACAAUACAGAUUACAGACAGGUUUUGCUUUAAUUAAAGCCAUUUAACAUGAGCACAGUGAGAAGCUGGAAGAAAUCUUCAACAUAUCAGCAUGUGGAAAGAUAGUUUUUAAUUUCUGCAUAUGUAACUAACUCAGGGUUGCAACAAGGAAUUUUAAUUCAGAUGUAUUCUGUACACCCUUUUCCUUUGGAAAGACGCACAUACAGCUCAUCCCUGAAACAUAACACACUUGCAUUUACUGGGAUUCUCCCACUGUAUAAAAAAUGUGUUUUAAGAGAGUUUGUGAGAGGAGGUCUGUGUUUCACAUUCCCCUAAGUCCACCUCCAGAUUGAAAUUCACUCAUUUAUCUGCAAAAAAAGAUGCUACUCAUCCCUUGAAGGCAGUUGUUUUGGAUGUCAUCCACAGCAGCUGAGGGUACCUACUGAAGAAGGAAUAAACAUUUUUUUAUCUAAUA